rnacentral:lncRNA from 1 species
GCCCACAGUCCGGAGCCUGCAGAGACGGCCCACAGUCCGGAGCCUGCAGAGACGGCCCACAGUCCGGAGCCUGCAGAGACGGCCCACAGUCCGGAGCCUGCAGAGACGGCCCACAGUCCGGAGCCUGCAGAGACGCCCUACAGUCCGGAGCCUGCGUAGCCAGAGACGCCCUACAGUCCGGAACCGGCGCAGCCAGAGUCGCCCUACAGUCCGGAACCGGCGCAGCCAGAGUCGCCCUACAGUCCGGAACCGGCGCAGCCAGAGUCGCCCUACAGUCCGGAACCGGCGCAGCCAGAGUCGCCCUACAGUCCGGAACCGGCGCAGCCAGAGUCACCCUACAGUCCGGAACCGGCGCAGCCAGAGUCGCCCUUCAGUUCGGAGCUCCCAGAGUCUCCCUCCAGUCCGGAGCUCCCAGAGUCGCCCUUCAGUCCGGAGCUCCCAGAGUCGCGCUCCAGUCCGGAGCUCCCAGAGUCGCCCUCUAGUCCGGAGCUCCCAGAGUCGCCCUCCAGUCCGGAGCUCCCAGAGUCGCCCUCCAGUCCGGAGCUCCCAGAGUCGCGCUCCAGUCCGGAGCUCCCCAGCGAUGCGCAUCAGCCCGAGGUCUCCAGCGAUGCGCAUCAGCCCGAGGUCUCCAGCGACGCGCCUCAGCCCGAGGUCUCCAGCGACGCGACGCGCCUUAGCCCUGAGCCUUCAGCGGGGGUGGACAGGUUAGGUUGGGGACUAAGGCCGGUGCCUGAGCCACCUCCAUAGUGGAGGAUUGGGGAGGGGGGGUGUAGCACAAGAACCGUCGUUGACGGUGGCCACCCUCCCUUCCCUACCUUUAGUUUGGGAUUAUUUUUGUUUUGGGGUUUAUUUUUGUGUUUUUUGUUUGAGGUGCAUCCGGGGUCUGCACCUUUGGGGGGAGGGUACUGUCACGUCCUGACCAGUAAAGGGGUUAUUUGUUAUUGUAGUUUGGUCAGGACGUGGCAGGGGGUGUUUGUUUUAUGUGUUUAGGUUUUUUUUUUGGUUAAUGUUCUAUGUUAUUAUAUUUCUAUGUUCGUUCUAGUUUUUCUAUUUCUAUGAUUAUUUUAUUGGGUUGACCUUCAAUUGGAGGCAGCUGUUCCUCAUUGCCUCUAAUUGAAGGUUCUAUUUAGUAGGGGUGUUUUUCCAUGGGUUUUUGUGGGUAGUUCCGUGUGUAGCUGUGUGCCUCACAGGACUGUUUUUUGUUGUUGUUUUGUAUUAAGUGUUUAUUUUGGUUUUCUUCUAAAUAAAAGAAGAUGAGCAUACACAUUCCCGCUGCACCUUGGUCCCAUCCUUACAACGGAUGUGACAGACAAGGCAGAGUAUAGCCCACAAAGAUCUCCCCCAUGGCACAACCCAAGGGGGACGCCAACCCGGUCAGGAAGAUCACGUCAGUGACUCAACCCACUCAAGUGACGCAUCCCUCCUAGGGACGGCAUGGAAGAGCACCAGUAAGCCAGUGACUCAGCCCCUGUAAUAGGGUUAGAGGCAGAGAAUCCCAGUGGAGCGAGUUUCUCGUGUGUAUCAAGAAUGGUUCACCACCCAAAGGACAUCCUGCCAACUUGACACAACUGUGAGAAGCAUUGGAGUCAAUAUGAGCCAGCAUCCCUGUGGAACGCUUAAGACACCUUGUAGAGUCCAUGCCCCAACGAAUUGAGGCUGUUCUGAGGGCAAAAGGGGGUGGAACUCAAUAUUUGGUCUUUAUGAUAGAGGUUUUCACUCAUAUCCACAUAGUUUUUCAGUAUGACGUGAUACAGUUGGUACCACCACCAAUAGCGUUGACGUCAAGGUUAUUAUUGUUUUGUGACUUAAUAUUAGUUAUUAUUUAUAUUAUCUGUAUUUUGAUGAAAUUCAGAUUAGUUUGUUAGUUUUCAGACUCGAUUCACUAGUUUGUAUUUAGUUUGAUAAAAACAUUUAUAUUUCGUUUUUAUACUAUUUAGUUUCGUUGUUAGUGUUGAGGACAGAAAGUAGCCUAUUUGUGGGAGGCUUGGAGACCUUUAUGCAUUGUUGGCUUAUAGUUUUUUGCGGGGGUGUCACUUCUUGCCACUGGGGGGCAGUACUACAUAAGGUGAUGGGCCAGGACAAUAGACUUGGACAGACAUAACAUCUCUGUAUCUGUGUAAUGAUGGCGUCUGUGAGAGCAUGAGCAGUGCCAUUGAGGCCAUCUCCAUCUUGAAAUUGUACAUUUUCUCCUUCACAAGUAAAAUCUAUUGGCUUAUCCCUCCUGAUGACCUGGCUGUCACGACUCCAACCGAGUCAUCAGGUCAUGCCAACUGGGCCACCAGGAGGGACCAGCCAAUGAAGUUGGAAGUCGACUCAAUCAAAAAGGCUUUUGGCCACUAGAGGAACCCAUACAACUCAUUUGACAGAACAGAGGUUUGGUUAGGUUCAAAUUAUAAAUAAAUCUUAAAGGUGCACUAUGAAGAAAUCACUCCGCCAUUUCCUGGUUGCUAAAAUUCGAGUAGUUCCCCUAAUUUCAGUUUAUGUGACAAAACAAGCAUAGAGAAUGUAGAGAAUCAUUGUACCAUCUAAACCGCUGUGAAAUAUAUUUUCAAUAACCAAAAAUAUUGUGUUUUCAGCUGUUUGAAGCUUGUGUACAAAACAGAAAGUAAAAGACAAAAAAGCUGAACUUAAAACUUCUUCAGGAUUGUUGAUUGAGGAUUGAGGUUGUAAGUAACAAGAACAUUUCCCAGGACAUAGACAUAUCUGAUAUUGGCAGAAAGAUUAAAUUCUUGUUAAUCUAAAUGCACUGUCCAAUUUACAGUAGCUAUUACAGUGAAAGAAUACCAUGCUAUUGUUUGAGGAGAGUGCACGGUUUUGAACAUGAAAAGUUAUAAACAAAUUAGGCCAUUUGGGCAGUCUUGAUACAAAAUUUUGAACUGAAAUACAAUGGUUCAUUGGACCAGCCUGAGAAUUUGCACAAACACUGCUGCCAUCUAGUGGCCAAAAUCUAAAUUGCACCUGGGCUGGAAUAAUAAAUUAUGGCCUUUCUCUUGCAUUUCAAAGAUGAUGGUACAAAAACAAAAUACAAAAAAAGGUUUAUUUUUUCCUUUGUAUUAUCUUUUACCAGAUAUAAUGUGUUAUAUUCUCCUACAUUCAUUUCAUAUUUCCACAAACUUCAAAGUGUUUCCUUUCAAAUGGUACCAAGAAUAUGCAUAUCCUUGCUUCAGGGCCUGAGCUACAGGAAGUUAGAUUUGGGUAUGUCAUUUUAGGCUACUUUUUUUUUUUAAAGGGGCCGAUACUUAAGAGGAUCAUUGUACGAAAUCUUCAGUUUCUUGGCAAUUUCUCGCAUGGAAUAGCCUUCAUUUCUCAGAACAAGAAUAGACUAACGAGUUUCAGAAGAAAGUUCUUUGUUUGAUUAAAUUGUUUUUUUAUUUCCCUCAUCAAUUUACACACAAUACCCCAUAAUGACAAAGAAAAAAAGGUUUUUAGAAAUUGUAGCAAAUGUAUUUAAAAAAAUAAUAAUUGAAAUUCCACUUACAGAAGUAAUCAGACCUUUUAUUCAGUACUUUGUUGAAGCAUCUUUGGCAGCGAUUAUAGCCUCGUGUCCUCUUGGGUAUGAAGCUACAAGCUUGGUACACCUGUAUUGGGGAGUUUCUCCCAUUCUUCUCUGCAGAUCAUCUCAAGCUCUGUCAGGUUAGAUGGGGAGUGUCCCUGCACAGCUAUUUUCAUGUCUCUCCAGAGAUGUUCGACCGGGUUCAAGUCCGGGCUCUUGCUGGGCCAAUCAAGGACAUUCAGAUACUUUAAAAAAAACAUUUAUUUAACCUUUAUUUAACUAGGCAAGUCAGAUAAGAACAAAUUCUUAUUUUACAAUGGUGGCCUACCCCGGCCAAACCCUCCCCUAACCCGGACAAAGCUGGGUCAAUUGUGCGCCGCCCUACGGGACUCCCAAUCACGGCCGGUUGUGAUAGAGUCUGGGAUCGAACCAGGGUCUGUAGUGACAUUCUAGCACUGAGAUGCAGUGCCUUAGACCACUGCGGCACUCAGGAGGCCGACUUGUCCCGAAACCACUUCUGCGUUGUCUUGGCUGUGCGCUUAGGGUCUUUGUCCUGUUGGAAGGUAAACCUUUGCCCCAGUCUGAGGUCCUGAGCACACUGGAGCAGGUUUUCAUCAAGGAUCUCUCUGUACUUUGCUCCAUUCAUCUUUCACUCGAUCCUGAUCCUAACUAUUCUCCCAGUCCCUGCCGCUGAAAAACAUCCCCACAGCAUGAUGCUGCCACCACCAUGCUUCACCAUAGAGAUGGUACCAUGUUUCCUCCAGACGUGACGCUUGUCAUUCAGGCCAAAGAGUUCAAUCUUGGUUUCAUCAGACCAGAGAGUCUUGUUUCUCAUGGUCUGAGAGUCAUUUAGGUGCCUUUUGACUAACUCCAAGCGGGCUGUCAUGAGCCUUUUACUGAGGAGUGGCUUCCGUCUGGCCACUCUACCAUAAAGGGCUGAUUGGUGGAGUGCUGCAGAGAUGACUGUCCUUCUGGAAGGUUAGUCCAUCUCCACAGAGGAACUCUGGGGCUCUAUCAGAGUGACCAUCGGGUUCUUGGUCACCUCCCUGACCAAGGCCCUUCUCCCCAGAUUGCUCAGUUUGGCCGGGCGGCCAGCUCUAAGAAGAGUCUUGGUGGUUCCAAACUUCUUCCAUUUAAGAAUGACAGAGGCAACUGUGUUCUUGGGGACCUUCAAUGCUGCAGAAAUGUUUUGGUACCCUUUCCCAGAUCUGUGCCUUGACACAAUCCUGUCUCAGAGCUCUACGGACAAUUCCUUCGACCUCAUAACUUGGUUUUUACUCUGACAUGCACUGUCAACUGCGGGAUCUUAUAUAGACAGGUGUGUGCCUUUCCAAAUCAUAUCCAAUUGAAUUUACCACAGGUGGACUCCAAUCAAGUUGUAGAAACAUCUCAAGGAUGAUCAAUGGAAACAGGAUGCACCAGUCUAAAUUUUUGGCAGCAGCUAAUUAAACAUAUACAAAUAUCUGAGCUCAAUUUCGAGUCCCAUAGCAAAGGGUCUGAAUACUUAUGUAAAUAAGGUAUUUCUGUUUUUUAUUUGUAAUACGUUUGCAAAAAUUUCUAAAAACAUGUUUUUGCUUUGUCAUUAUGGGGUAUUGUGUAGGUUGAUGAGGAAAAAAUCAAUUUAAAAAAUCAAUUAAAUCAAUUUUAGAAUAAGACUGUAACGUAACAAAAUGUGGAAAAAGUCAAGGGGUCUGAAUACUUUCAGAAUGGACUGUACAAGGCAAGAUCAGAGAGGGAGUGAAAGAGAGGUCAUAGCCUGAAAGACAAAAAGAGAGUAUCUCACCACAGCUGGUCAGGAACAAACAGAAAGAGACAAUGAAUCUAAGACCCUUUUAUAACCAUUUAACCAUGUUUAGAUUCCCAAUCUGAGUUGUUGACCAAUAGCAUUACUAUUGAGUUAACUAACAAUCAGAUUGGCACUCCCUUUCUGAUCAUGCCUUGGAGAGCGCAUUUGGAAACUAUUAGCCAUUCAUUUCUCUAUCCGUAUGAAUAUUAUUCAAAUGCAUCAGACUCUCUCAUGGCUUCACGUUGAAAACAAAUUACUAUCCAGUCUUCUGAUUUUCUUAAUCAGGAAUAUUUAUAUAUAUAUAUAUAGACCAAGUAUUUUUCAGGCCAGUUAAUACAUAGUAGCAACAUGCAUAACCUCCAAACCAGACAGGCAAAUUCAGGACAUCUAAGACAACCCAAGCUAAGGACAAAUCGCCUUAAAUCUACAGUUUUAUAUAGAGCCAUAGCUAAAUGGAACUCUUUACCAAUCCAUAUAUCUCAGGCAAAAUGUAAAUCCACCUUCAAGGAAAGAAAAUAAAAGAACUCCAACGCCAUAGACCAUGACUCGACAGGAAAUAGAAAGCAUCAACUGAAUGUUUAAUAUGUUUCCUGUCAGGUAUUUUAAUUGUCUCUAUUGUCUACUUGUUAAAUGUUUGUAAAGUCUUAAUUUGUAAUUGUUUGUAAUGUCUUAUUAAUUGGUGUUGGACCCCAGGAAGAUUAGCUAACGUUACAGCGUUAGCUAAUGGGGAUCCUAAUAAAAAUUCACAAAAGACCUACAGGAUGUAAAAACAGAACUUCUUCUAACCAGAGGUGUGACAGAAUCGGGGGAUGGUGAGAUCAACAAAGAGAAGGCUGAAUUCCAGAGACCAUGAACCCUCUUGCAUACAGUUGAUAAGAGGUACUUGAACCCUCUUGCAUACAGUUGAUAAGAGGAACUUGGGGGGUAGCCUUACACCCGCCAGAUUCAGAACCUCGAAAAUCCCAUUUGUUUUUCGUUUUUGUUCAGUUUAUUACAAUAACCUUGGUUUUUUGUCACAUGUGCCGAAUACAAUAGGUGUACAGUCGUGGCCAAAAGUUCUGAGAAUGACACAAAUAUUAAUUUCCACAAAGUUUGCUGCUUCAGUGUCUUUAGAUAUUUUUGUCAGAUGUUAUUAUGGAAUACUGAAGUAUAAUUACAAGCAUUUCAGAAGUGUCAAAGGCUUUUAUUGACAAUUACAUGAAGUUGAUGCAAAGAGUCAAUAUUUGCAGUGUUGACCCUUCUUUUUCAAGGCCUCCGCAAUCCGCCCUGGCAUGCUGUCAAUUAAC